CUAUUGCAUGUGCAGAUUUAGAAUGAAAUAAGGUGCAUGUGCUCCAACACAGAAAACAAUGCACGCAUGGGCACUACAGACGCGCCUUGGAUGUCAUUUAGGAAAAAAUAUAUUGGACACAGUCUGCAGAUGUUUCUUUACAGCAACUUAUAAUACAUUUUUCACUCCUCUGAGGUCUGUUGCUGAGAAAACACACCUGAUGGAGAGCAUAAAAAUUGGAUUUUUCAAUCCCACCAAAGAAAUUACGGAAGAACUCCUGUCCUGACCACUCCAAUGGGACCUGUUCUAAUGUCACCAUGCCACUGUGUCUAUAUCUCAACCAUUCCACCAUACUUUCAGUACUAUUAGUGUUAAGAAGGAUAAGAGCAUGGCCCUUUUACCUUUUUGUCUGUAAUUAACCAGUCUUGUGUUGUUACUGUUUUGUUGCUGUUUUGUUUCCAAUUGUAAAGAACAAUUUUAAUAU